rnacentral:rRNA from 1 species
GGUUAAGCGACUAAGCGUACACGGUGGAUGCCCUGGCAGUCAGAGGCGAUGAAGGGCGUGCUAAUCUGCGAUAAGCGCCGGUAAGGUGAUAUGAACCGUUAUAACCGGCGAUACCCGAAUGGGGAAACCCAGUGUGACUCGUCACACUAUCAUUAACUGAAUCCAUAGGUUAAUGAGGCGAACCGGGGGAACUGAAACAUCUAAGUACCCCGAGGAAAAGAAAUCAACCGAGAUUCCCCCAGUAGCGGCGAGCGAACGGGGAGGAGCCCAGAGCCUGAAUCAGCAUGUGUGUUAGUGGAAGCGUCUGGAAAGGCGCGCGAUACAGGGUGACAGCCCCGUACACAAAAGCGCAUGUGCUGUGAGCUCGAUGAGUAGGGCGGGACACGUGGUAUCCUGUCUGAAUAUGGGGGGACCAUCCUCCAAGGCUAAAUACUCCUGACUGACCGAUAGUGAACCAGUACCGUGAGGGAAAGGCGAAAAGAACCCCGGGAGGGGAGUGAAAAAGAACCUGAAACCGUGUACGUACAAGCAGUGGGAGCCCCACCACCAAAGCAUUCUCUGGUGUUGAAGGCCCUGCAAAGCAGCAUCGCGGUGGCGGAGCGUCGUUUGCGACGCCCAACACACAAAACAAGCGGUGAAUGCUUUGGGGUGGGGUGACUGCGUACCUUUUGUAUAAUGGGUCAGCGACUUAUAUUCUGUAGCAAGGUUAACCGAAUAGGGGAGCCGGAGGGAAACCGAGUCUUAAUUGGGCGUUAAGUUGCAGGGUAUAGACCCGAAACCCGGUGAUCUAGCCAUGGGCAGGUUGAAGGUUGGGUAACACUAACUGGAGGACCGAACCGACUAAUGUUGAAAAAUUAGCGGAUGACCUGUGGCUGGGGGUGAAAGGCCAAUCAAACCGGGAGAUAGCUGGUUCUCCCCGAAAGCUAUUUAGGUAGCGCCUCGUGAAUUCAUCUCCGGGGGUAGAGCACUGUUUCGGCUAGGGGGCCAUCCCGGCUUACCAACCCGAUGCAAACUGCGAAUACCGGAGAAUGUUAUCACGGGAGACACACGGCGGGUGCUAACGUCCGUCGUGAAGAGGGAAACAACCCAGACCGCCAGCUAAGGUCCCAAAGUCAUGGUUAAGUGGGAAACGAUGUGGGAAGGCCCAGACAGCCAGGAUGUUGGCUUAGAAGCAGCCAUCAUUUAAAGAAAGCGUAAUAGCUCACUGGUCGAGUCGGCCUGCGCGGAAGAUGUAACGGGGCUAAACCAUGCACCGAAGCUGCGGCAGCGACGCUGAUGCGUUGUUGGGUAGGGGAGCGUUCUGUAAGCCUGCGAAGGUGACCUGUGAGGGUUGCUGGAGGUAUCAGAAGUGCGAAUGCUGACAUAAGUAACGAUAAAGCGGGUGAAAAGCCCGCUCGCCGGAAGACCAAGGGUUCCUGUCCAACGUUAAUCGGGGCAGGGUGAGUCGACCCCUAAGGCGAGGCCGAAAGGCGUAGUCGAUGGGAAACGGGUUAAUAUUCCCGUACUUGGUGUUACUGCGAAGGGGGGACGGAGAAGGCUAUGUUGGCCGGGCGACGGUUGUCCCGGUUUAAGCGUGUAGGUGUGUGUUCCAGGUAAAUCCGGUUCACUUUAACACUGAGGCGUGAUGACGAGGCACUACGGUGCUGAAGCAACAAAUGCCCUGCUUCCAGGAAAAGCCUCUAAGCAUCAGGUAACAUCAAAUCGUACCCCAAACCGACACAGGUGGUCAGGUAGAGAAUACCAAGGCGCUUGAGAGAACUCGGGUGAAGGAACUAGGCAAAAUGGUGCCGUAACUUCGGGAGAAGGCACGCUGACACGUAGGUGAAGUGAUUUACUCACGGAGCUGAAGUCAGUCGAAGAUACCAGCUGGCUGCAACUGUUUAUUAAAAACACAGCACUGUGCAAACACGAAAGUGGACGUAUACGGUGUGACGCCUGCCCGGUGCCGGAAGGUUAAUUGAUGGGGUCAGCGCAAGCGAAGCUCCUGAUCGAAGCCCCGGUAAACGGCGGCCGUAACUAUAACGGUCCUAAGGUAGCGAAAUUCCUUGUCGGGUAAGUUCCGACCUGCACGAAUGGCGUAAUGAUGGCCAGGCUGUCUCCACCCGAGACUCAGUGAAAUUGAACUCGCUGUGAAGAUGCAGUGUACCCGCGGCAAGACGGAAAGACCCCGUGAACCUUUACUAUAGCUUGACACUGAACAUUGAGCCUUGAUGUGUAGGAUAGGUGGGAGGCUUUGAAGUGUGGACGCCAGUCUGCAUGGAGCCGACCUUGAAAUACCACCCUUUAAUGUUUGAUGUUCUAACGUGGACCCGUAAUCCGGGUUGCGGACAGUGUCUGGUGGGUAGUUUGACUGGGGCGGUCUCCUCCUAAAGAGUAACGGAGGAGCACGAAGGUUGGCUAAUCCUGGUCGGACAUCAGGAGGUUAGUGCAAUGGCAUAAGCCAGCUUGACUGCGAGCGUGACGGCGCGAGCAGGUGCGAAAGCAGGUCAUAGUGAUCCGGUGGUUCUGAAUGGAAGGGCCAUCGCUCAACGGAUAAAAGGUACUCCGGGGAUAACAGGCUGAUACCGCCCAAGAGUUCAUAUCGACGGCGGUGUUUGGCACCUCGAUGUCGGCUCAUCACAUCCUGGGGCUGAAGUAGGUCCCAAGGGUAUGGCUGUUCGCCAUUUAAAGUGGUACGCGAGCUGGGUUUAGAACGUCGUGAGACAGUUCGGUCCCUAUCUGCCGUGGGCGCUGGAGAACUGAGGGGGGCUGCUCCUAGUACGAGAGGACCGGAGUGGACGCAUCACUGGUGUUCGGGUUGUCAUGCCAAUGGCACUGCCCGGUAGCUAAAUGCGGAAGAGAUAAGUGCUGAAAGCAUCUAAGCACGAAACUUGCCCCGAGAUGAGUUCUCCCUGAGACUUUAGGUCUCCUGAAGGAACGUUGAAGACGACGACGUUGAUAGGCCGGGUGUGUAAGCGCAGCGAUGCGUUGAGCUAACCGGUACUAAUGAACCGUGAGGCUUAACCUU